rnacentral:rRNA from 1 species
AAUGGGUCAGCGACUUAUAUUCUGUAGCAAGGUUAACCGAAUAGGGGAGCCGAAGGGAAACCGAGUCUUAACUGGGCGUUAAGUUGCAGGGUAUAGACCCGAAACCCGGUGAUCUAGCCAUGGGCAGGUUGAAGGUUGGGUAACACUAACUGGAGGACCGAACCGACUAAUGUUGAAAAAUUAGCGGAUGACUUGUGGCUGGGGGUGAAAGGCCAAUCAAACCGGGAGAUAGCUGGUUCUCCCCGAAAGCUAUUUAGGUAGCGCCUCGUGAAUUCAUCUCCGGGGGUAGAGCACUGUUUCGGCAAGGGGGUCAUCCCGACUUACCAACCCGAUGCAAACUGCGAAUACCGGAGAAUGUUAUCACGGGAGACACACGGCGGGUGCUAACGUCCGUCGUGAAGAGGGAAACAACCCAGACCGCCAGCUAAGGUCCCAAAGUCAUGGUUAAGUGGGAAACGAUGUGGGAAGGCCCAGACAGCCAGGAUGUUGGCUUAGAAGCAGCCAUCAUUUAAAGAAAGCGUAAUAGCUCACUGGUCGAGUCGGCCUGCGCGGAAGAUGUAACGGGGCUAAACCAUGCACCGAAGCUGCGGCAGCGACGCUUAUGCGUUGUUGGGUAGGGGAGCGUUCUGUAAGCCUGUGAAGGUGUGCUGUGAGGCAUGCUGGAGGUAUCAGAAGUGCGAAUGCUGACAUAAGUAACGAUAAAGCGGGUGAAAAGCCCGCUCGCCGGAAGACCAAGGGUUCCUGUCCAACGUUAAUCGGGGCAGGGUGAGUCGACCCCUAAGGCGAGGCCGAAAGGCGUAGUCGAUGGGAAACAGGUUAAUAUUCCUGUA